rnacentral:rRNA from 1 species
AUGGUCAUGGAGACUAGGAAGAGGAAAGCCGACCAGGCCUUGGCCUGUCGCGGCUCACGUCCCCGCCACGGCAAGAAGGAGCGUCCCGCUUCUCGGCCAGCAGAUUGGAGGGACUGGGCGGCGCUGCCCGGCACCGCCCUGCGUGCGAUCCUAGAGCGGCUUCAAACCGACGUCCUCCGCGGGACGGGGCCGGUGCUGGCGUGCGCGUCGUGGCGGCGGGCGGCCGUCGAGGACCCGCUUCUGUGGCGGCGCAUCGACCUCGCCUCCGACGAGGACGGGGACGAGGACGCUGCGGCGGGGUGGCGGGCGAUGGCGCGCGCCGCCGUGGACCGCAGCGCCGGCCGGUGCGAGUCCUUCCGCGGCCGCGUCAACGGCGACUUCCUCGUCUACCUCGCCGACAAGUACCUGACCCUUCUGGAGCAGCUCGUGGUGGCGGGAGGCUACUUCGACCACGCUAUGCUGUGCGCGGUCCUCGACCACUGCCCGCGUCUCCGGCUGCUCGACGCCGGCGGCUGCUACACCUUGGAAGCAACGGGAAAAAGGCUCGUGGCCAGGUGCGAGAGCAGGAUCCGGGACCUCCGGCUGCCGCGCUGGUCGACCGGUGGCGGAUGCUCCUGCUGCAGAGAAAUGGCUCAAGAGUACGCAGACGAACAUGAUGAAUGA